UUAAACGGCCGCGGUAUUUUGACCGUGCGAAGGUAGCAUAAUCAAUUGUCUUAUAAUUGAAGACUGGAAUGAAUGGUUGAACGAAAUUAAAACUGUUUCAUUUAUAUUAAUUAGAAAUUGGUUUUUAAAUGAAGAAAUUUAAAUUUGAUUAAUAGACAAGAAGACCCUAUUGAGCUUUAAAUAACUUUAAAAUUAAAAAUUUAUUAUUAGAGAUUUAAGUUUUAAAUGUCUUUUAGUUGGGGCGACUAAGGAACAAGAGAAGCUUCCUUUAUUUAUUGUAUCUAUGGAUUUUGAUCCAGUAUUGAACUGAUUAACAGAAAUAGUUACCAUAGGGAUAACAGCAUAAUCUUCUUGGAGAGUUCUUAUCAAAAAGGAGGGUUGUGACCUCGAUGUUGGAUUAAAAUAUCCUAAAGGUGUAGAGGUUCUAAGGGUUGG
rnacentral:rRNA from 1 species